rnacentral:rRNA from 2 species
GAGUUUGAUCAUGGCUCAGAUUGAACGCUGGCGGCGUGCUUAACACAUGCAAGUCGAGCGGUAACAGGCGUAGCAAUACGUGCUGACGAGCGGCGAACGGGUGAGUAAUGCUUCGGAAUCUUCCUCGUAGUGGGGAAUAACCUGGGGAAACUCAGGCUAAUACCGCAUACGAACUACGGUUGAAAGCAGGGGAUCGCAAGACCUUGCGCUAACAGAUGAGCCCAAGUCGGAUUAGCUAGUUGGUAGGGUAAUGGCCUACCAAGGCGACGAUCCGUAACUGGUCUGAGAGGACGACCAGUCACACCGGAACUGAGACACGGUCCGGACUCCUACGGGAGGCAGCAGUGGGGAAUAUUGGACAAUGGUCGCAAGACUGAUCCAGCCAUGCCGCGUGAAGGAUGAAGGCCCUAUGGGUUGUAAACUUCUUUUGUACGGGAAAAACCCCUCUACGUGUAGAGGGCUGAUUGUACUGUAAGAAUAAGGAUCGGCUAACUCCGUGCCAGCCGCCGCCGU